rnacentral:tRNA from 1 species
GGCUCGUUGGUCUAGGGGUAUGAUUCUUGCUUUGGGUGCAAGAGGUCCCCGGUUCAAAUCUCGGACGAGCCC